AUGGAGACAAUGGAGAUGGUGUUCAGCGGUGCGCUCAGCCAGAGUUCGCCGUACGUCCGACAUUUGCUGAUUCGGCAGGGCCCUCAUGGAAACAAAUCCAUGAAAGACGCAUUGGAGCACCAGGACCAUGCCUUGUUAGAGGAGGUUUCUGGUUGGAUAAAUGAGAAGGCCAUGAUGCCUAUUUGGGCUAAGAUGACUCCUAACAUUGCAGUUCUUCCACAUCACAUUGUUGCACUGUUAGGGGCUAUAAAGGGUAUCAUUGUCACCCAUUUUCUAGGAGGAACUGGGUUCGGGCCUUUUGCUCUAAAAAGAAGCGAGUGA
rnacentral:rRNA from 1 species